UACAGAGACCUCAAGCGUUAUCCGGAAUCAUUGGGCGUAAAGCGUACCGAUAGGUGGUUUAGAAAGUCAGAAGUGAAAUCUCUCAGCUUAACUGGGAGACUGUCUUUUGAAACUUUUAAACUAGAGGGGCAAAGAGGAAGCUGGAACGAACGGUGUAGUAGUGAAAUGCGUUGAUAUCGUUCGGAACACCAAUAGCGUAGGCAGGCUUCUGGGUGCCACCUGACACUGCUAGGACGAAAGCGUGGGGAGCGAAUGGG
rnacentral:rRNA from 1 species